AUCUUAGUGGAUUUCAGGGAUUAGAUUUAUAUCUUUUUGCUGCUGUUCCCCAUUUUCCACUGUGCUACCUCAGCAUGUGGGAUUUGUGUGUAGCACAGCAGAUCUCAAGAUGACUGGAUUUUAUACUGGGUUUGUGGAAGCCGUGCUCUGUAGAUGUUAUUUCUGACUGUAUUAUAGGCAUUUAUUUACAUCACUUAUGAUUUCAUGUCGUCACAUGGAUCUUUUUGUCGGGAAAAGCUAUAAGCCGAUGCCCAGAACUGUCUUUUUUCUUCAUACAUCAUCUUUCUUCACUAACUUGAAGCUUGGAGGAUGCAAAUUAUUGACUUUUAAACUCCUUUACUGAGAGCUUUACUAACCUAUACUUUUUUACAAGGAUUCAUGGAACAUUAAGAUGCAGUCGAUGCAUAUAACACUGGUGCUUUAAAUGUUCUUUGCUGGUGUUUUGCAGUUGUUGAGACUCAAGUUGCAAUAUAUAGGAUAAAAGAUAUUUCCAUCAAACUUCUACCUUCAGGCUCUUUUGUUUUAUCUCCCCCCCCCACUGAACUUAUCAGGUGGGGGGGGAAGGGGUAAGGCCCAAACCAUGGAGUCGAACCCAGACAGCCCGAGUCGGGCUGUGGAGUAUCUCCUGGAGCUCAAUAACAUCAUCGAGAACCAGGCCAAACUUCUAGAGACACAGCGUAAACGUAUCGAGGAGCUCCAAACGCAGCUAGACCGGGUCAACCAGGAGAACCAGGACCUGCGGCAGGACCGGAACCCGGGAACUGAGAACUUGACGCAGAACCACAACUACAACCAGAGCUCUAAGCCCAGCCAGCCGUCAUCACUACCAAACCACAGUGCUGGAGGUGUCCAUCAGAACAGCAGCAGUAAUAUACCCUCAUCCACGGUGCCUGGUCCAGCUCGACGGAAUCACAGCAGACUGACCCGAGGCCUGUCAUGUGGGUCAGCCCCUGUCGAGGAGAGAGGCCGACUGGAGCGAAAUGACAGCUCUGGGACCAACAACACCUCCACUCUACGGAAACAAGGUGUCAGACUACACUCAUCCUCCAGCUGCUCCACAAUCACUCAUCUCUCCUCAGCUUCCACCUUCACUUCCCAUCAGCCAGCUAAAAGCCGCAGCCACCAUCAGUUCUGCUGCCCUUCCAGGCUGGGCAGACCCGAGCCGGCCUCCAGCAGGUGCUCAGAGCGGGCCAGGUAAGGGCCAGCAGAGGGCCGACAGAGCCCAAAUCCUCUAGUUCCCUUAGUUUCUGUACCCACAGCAUUUCAUAAUGCCACUUCAGCCCAUUUCCCCUCUUCAGAUUCCCACAUCACCCUGAAGAGCCAUUCACAAUUACAUCCGUUUGCAGUGACAAAGCAGCCUGAAGUAAUUCGUUCUAAAUGAGAGUCAUUUCCAGCAACAUUAGCAGCAGCAACUGUUGUCGAUGUGACAAAGUAGAGCUCAACUUUAUGCAAAUAAGCAGCAACACAAUGCAGAAACUACCAAUGGGAGUGCAGAAGGUGAUCCACCUCCCGAUACUGAAGUUUUACUGGUGAAUGCAUCACUGUUCAUUUGCAAGUUAAACUGCACUGAACUUGUGAGAGCUGCUGGCUCUCAAUGGCCUCUGUUUGAGUCUGAGCUGGUUCAGAUCCUGAUCCCACUCCUUCUCUCUGACAACUAUUUUCCUGUCUGCACUCUAAUGUCCUAUAAAUAAAGGUAAAAAAUAAGACUCUCCA
ensembl:lncRNA